GAGGGAUGCAGCUAUGCUGGCACAGGACACUCUCCUGAAGUAGCAACAGAGGCUGUUUUGUAGAGACUUUAAGAUGGCUCUUGAAGAAUUAAACAUCCUCAUAAAGAAGUGCUGCUUGUAGCUGGAACUUCAAUGUGGACCAUCUUUGAUUUGAAGAAAAUCACAUUUAGGAAGUGUUUGUCUCACUAUGACUGGAAUAUUUAUCUUAAGAAGAGGCAUGACAGGAGGAAGACGUGUUUGGAUUCAGAAAUACAGCCCUCUAAUGAGAUGGAAAGGUGUGCCCUACUUUAUGUGCCUGUUUGCCUGAGGUCUUGAUACACUGUGUAAAAGGGAGUUGAUGAGGCAGCUGACUUCUCCAAAGAGCUGUGGCAGAUGGAACAUACAGCCAGGAUUUCCAGUCCACUGAGCCACAGAACACAGGAGAGCUCCACUCUGAAUGUGUGGCAUGAAGAGGUGGAUUGUCAAUAUGUUAAUUAAUU